rnacentral:rRNA from 1 species
CUACAAAGGAAUUGACGGGGCCCGCACAAGCGGUGGAGCAUGUGGUUUAAUUCGACGCAACGCGAAGAACCUUACCAGGGCUUGACAUCCCCUGACCGCGUAUGAAAGUACGUUUUCACCCUCGGGUGACAGGGAGACAGGUGGUGCAUGGUUGUCGUCAGCUCGUGUCGUGAGAUGUUGGGUUAAGUCCCGCAACGAGCGCAACCCCUACGUUUAGUUGCUAACGCGUGAAGGCGAGCACUCUAGACGAACUGCCGUUGACAAAACGGAGGAAGGUGGGAUGACGUCAAAUCAUCAUGCCCCUUAUGUUCUGGGCUACACACGUGCUACAAUGGCCGGUACAGACGGACGCAAAGCCGCGAGGUGGAGCAAAUCCUAAAAAGCCGGUCUCAGUUCGGAUUGCAGGCUGCAAUUCGCCUGCAUGAAGUCGGAAUCGCUAGUAAUCGCAGGUCAGCAUACUGCGGUGAAUACGUUCCCGGGCCUU